rnacentral:rRNA from 1 species
UAGGGAAUCUUCGGCAAUGGGGGGAACCCUGACCGAGCAACGCCGCGUGAGUGAAGAAGGUUUUCGGAUCGUAAAGCUCUGUUGUUAAGGAAGAACGAGUGUGAGAAUGGAAAGUUCAUACUGUGACGGUACUUAACCAGAAAGGGACGGCUAACUACGUGCCAGCAGCCGCGGUAAUACGUAGGUCCCGAGCGUUGUCCGGACUUAUUGGGCGUAAAGCGAGCGCAGGCGGUUAGAUAAGUCUGAAGUUAAAGGCAGUGGCUCAACCAUUGUAGGCUUUGGAAACUGUUUAACUUGAGUGCAGAAGGGGAGAGUGGAAUUCCAUGUGUAGCGGUGAAAUGCGUAGAUAUAUGGAGGAACACCGGUGGCGAAAGCGGCUCUCUGGUCUGUAACUGACGCUGAGGCUCGAAAGCGUGGGGAGCGAACAGG